GUUCAACGGCCGCGGUAUCCUAACCGUGCAAACGUGUCAUAAUCAUUUGCACCAUUAUUGUGGGCUAAAAUGAAAGGACCAACGAAAUAAAGACUGUCUCUAUAAGCAAAAUAAAAAUUAAUCUCUAACUGAAGAGUGUUAGAUUAUGUCGAAGGACAAGAAGACCCUAUAGAGCUUAAUUCUUAUAAAAAUAUAUAUUUUAAUAAAAUUCGGUUGGGGCGACCAGGGAAUACAAAUCAUCCCUAUUCAAAAGAUACAUAAAUCUUGAAAAUGACCCUUAAACAAGAUCACAAAAACAAGCUACCUUAGGGAUAACAGGCUAAUCCCAUUAAAGAGUUCUUAUCAAUAGUGGGGGUUGGCACCUCGAUGUUGGCUUAGGGAAUCUAUACGGCGCAAAAGUCGUAUAAAGAUGGUUUGUUCAACCAAUAACCCCUACAUGAGCUGAGUUCAGACCGGCGUAAGCCAGGUUAGUUUCUAUCCUCGAUAAAAUUACCUAUCUAUAGUACGAAAGGACCUAAAUAAGGGCAAUAAUUACAAUAAAAGAAUAAAUUUAAAAAAUUAAUAAUUAAAAAAUUCAUAAACUAUGAUAGUGAGUUGGCAGAAUAGUGCCACUGAUUUAGGAUCAGUUCAUGGGCAUUGCCCACUUACUAAAUAUGCAAUUUAGUUUAAUUAGAACAAUCAAUUUGCACUUGAUAAGUGAGAUAUUUCAAUAGCGGCUUGACGUUUUGGAAACACUGGACCUUGAACGUCCACUUUAGAUGUUCAACUCAUCUUC
rnacentral:rRNA from 1 species